AUUGAACGCUGGCGGCAGGCUUAACACAUGCAAGUCGAGCGGGGUGAUGGUGCUUGCACUAUCACUUAGCGGCGGACGGGUGAGUAAUGCUUAGGAAUCUGCCUAUUAGUGGGGGACAACAUCUCGAAAGGGAUGAUAAUACCGCAUACGUCCUACGGGAGAAAGCAGGGGAGCACUUGUGACGUUGCGAUAACAGAUGAGCUUAAGUCGGAUUAGCUAGUUGGUGGGGUAAAGGCCUACCAAGGCGACGAUGUGUAGCGGGUCUGAGAGGAUGAUCCGCCCCACUGGGACUGAGACACGGCCCAGACUCCUACGGGAGGCAGCAGUGGGGAAUAUUGGACAAUGGGGGGAACCCUGAUCCAGCCAUGCCGCUUGUGUGAAGAAGGCCUUAUGGUUGUAAAGCACUUUAAGCGAGGAGGAGGCUCUUUUGGUUAAUACCCAAGAUGAGUGGACGUUACUCGCAGAAUAAGCACCGGCUAACUCUGUGCCAGCCGCCGCAGUAA
rnacentral:rRNA from 1 species